rnacentral:tRNA from 2 species
GGGCGGACGUAGCCAAGUGGAUUAAGGCAGUGGAUUGUGGAUCCUCUACGC